UGCCUGCGGAGGGAUCAUUACCGAGUUAUACAACUCAUCAACCCUGUGAACAUACCUAAAACGUUGCUUCGGCGGGAACAGACGGCCCUGUAACAACGGGCCGCCCCCGCCAGAGGACCCCUAACUCUGUUUUUAUAAUGUUUUUCUGAGUAAACAAGCAAAUAAAUUAAAACUUUCAACAACGGAUCUCUUGGCUCUGGCAUCGAUGAAGAACGCAGCGAAAUGCGAUAAGUAAUGUGAAUUGCAGAAUUCAGUGAAUCAUCGAAUCUUUGAACGCACAUUGCGCCCGCCAGUAUUCUGGCGGGCAUGCCUGUUCGAGCGUCAUUACAACCCUCAGGCCCCCGGGCCUGGCGUUGGGGAUCGGCAGAAGCCCCCUGUGGGCACACGCCGUCCCUCAAAUACAGUGGCGGUCCCGCCGCAGCUUCCAUUGCGUAGUAGCUAACACCUCGCAACUGGAGAGCGGCGCGGCCAUGCCGUAAAACACCCAACUUCUGAAUGUUGACCUCCGU
rnacentral:rRNA from 1 species